GCAAUAAUAGCUUAUUUAAGAGCAUCGGUCUUGUAAGCCGAAGGUGGAUUAUGUAAUUCUUAUUGUA
rnacentral:tRNA from 1 species